CGCAGCCGCGGUAAUUCCAACUCCAAUAGCGUAUAUUAAAGUUGUUGCAGUUAAAAAGCUCGUAGUUGAAUUUCGGGAUUAAUAUGUUGGUCGUGCCUUGGUACGUACUGGCAUUAUUGGUUCCUACCUUCUGAAGAACCUCGAUGUCAUUAAUUUGGUGUCUUGGGGAAUCAGGACUGUUACUUUGAAAAAAUUAGAGUGUUUAAAGCAGGCUCGCGCUUGAAUACAUUAGCAUGGAAUAAUGAAAUAGGACGUUUGAUCCUAUUUUGUUGGUUUCUAGGAUCGACGUAAUGAUUAAUAGGGAUAGUUGGGGGCAUUAGUAUUCAAUUGUCAGAGGUGAAAUUCUUGGAUUUAUUGAAGACUAACUACUGCGAAAGCAUUUGCCAAGGAUGUUUUCAUUAAUCAAGAACGAAAGUUAGGGGAUCGAAGACGAUCAGAUACCGUCGUAGUCUUAACCAUAAACUAUGCCGACUAAGGGAUCGGAUGAUGUUAAUUUUUAA
rnacentral:rRNA from 1 species